UUGAACGCUGGCGGCAGGCCUAACACAUGCAAGUCGCGCGGAUGAAGGGAGCUUGCUCCUGGAUUCAGCGGCGGACGGGUGAGUAAUGCCUAGGAAUCUGCCUGGUAGUGGGGGAUAACGUCCGGAAACGGGCGCUAAUACCGCAUACGUCCUGAGGGAGAAAGUGGGGGAUCUUCGGACCUCACGCUAUCAGAUGAGCCUAGGUCGGAUUAGCUAGUUGGUGGGGUAAAGGCCUACCAAGGCGACGAUCCGUAACUGGUCUGAGAGGAUGAUCAGUCACACUGGAACUGAGACACGGUCCAGACUCCUACGGGAGGCAGCAGUGGGGAAUAUUGGACAAUGGGCGAAAGCCUGAUCCAGCCAUGCCGCGUGUGUGAAGAAGGUCUUCGGAUUGUAAAGCACUUUAAGUUGGGAGGAAGGGCAGUAAGUUAACACCUUGCUGUUUUGACGUUACCAACAGAAUAAGCACCGGCUAACUUCGUG
rnacentral:rRNA from 1 species